UACGUAGGGGGCAAGCGUUGUCCGGAAUUAUUGGGCGUAAAGAGCGCGUAGGCGGUCCGAUAAGUCGGCUGUGAAAGUCAGGGGCUCAACCCUUGAAAGCCGGCCGAUACUGUCGGACUAGAGUCCGGAAGAGGCAAGUGGAAUUCCCGGUGUAGCGGUGAAAUGCGCAGAUAUCAGGAAGAACACCCGUGGCUAAGGCGGCUCUCUAGUACGGUACUGACGCUGAGACGCGAAAGCGUGGGGAGCGAACAGG
rnacentral:rRNA from 1 species